rnacentral:misc_RNA from 1 species
GUGAAUCAUCGAAUUUUUGAACGCAAAUUGCACUCCCUGGUAUUCCGGGGAGUAUGCCUGUUUGAGGGUCGUUAAAAUAAAAAAUCGCAGCGUCCCUCUUUUUUUUAAGGGUUGUCGCGUCGGGAUUGGACCGUCUUUCAUAUGUUACUUUAUGUCGAAGUGGCUUAAAUUUCAUACAUCCGGUACG